rnacentral:rRNA from 1 species
UACGUAGGGUGCAAGCGUUGUCCGGAAUUAUUGGGCGUAAAGAGCUCGUAGGCGGCUUGUCGCGUCGGCUGUGAAAACCCGGGGCUCAACCCCGGGCCUGCAGUCGAUACGGGCAGGCUAGAGUCCGGCAGGGGAGACUGGAAUUCCUGGUGUAGCGGUGAAAUGCGCAGAUAUCAGGAGGAACACCGGUGGCGAAGGCGGGUCUCUGGGCCGGAACUGACGCUGAGGAGCAAAAGCGUGGGGAGCGAACAGG